rnacentral:rRNA from 1 species
UACGAAGGGGGCUAGCGUUGUUCGGAAUUACUGGGCGUAAAGCGCGCGCAGGUGGUCUUUCAAGUCAGUGGUGAAAGCCCGGAGCUCAACUCCGGAAAUGCCAUUGAAACUGUAAGACUUGAGGAUGAGAGAGGUGAGUGGAAUUCCCAGUGUAGAGGUGAAAUUCGUAGAUAUUCGGAAGAACACCAGUGGCGAAGGCGACUCACUGGACACGUAUUGACGCUGAGGUGCGAAAGCGUGGGGAGCAAACAGG